ACGGACAUCCUUCCAGUAUGUUUUUUUGAAAUGGCACUCGCCAGUAGCUUCGGCUUCAUAAUCAAUAAUAUCCAUGGGACGCGAUUGGAGAAUAGUUGCAGUCCCAUCUAAAGCACUUAAGGGGACUUUGCCCUUUGAAUCUUCAAACGAUCGUUUUGCCUCAAAAGACUCUCUGAAAAUAGAAUCAUAACUAGGUCUUGAUUCAGAACCUGCCAUAUCUUCCAAAGGUACAGCGUCAUUCAAA